rnacentral:rRNA from 1 species
AUUGAACGCUGGCGGAAUGCUUUACACAUGCAAGUCGAACGGCAGCACGGGGCAACCUGGUGGCGAGUGGCGAACGGGUGAGUAAUACAUCGGAACGUGCCCAAUCGUGGGGGAUAACGUAGCGAAAGUUACGCUAAUACCGCAUACGAUCUACGGAUGAAAGUGGGGGAUCGCAAGACCUCGCGCGAAUGGAGCGGCCGAUGUCAGAAUAGGUAGUUGGUGGGGUAAAGGCUCACCAAGCCGACGAUCUGUAGCUGGUCUGAGAGGGCGACCAGCCACACGGGGACUGAGACACGGGCCAGACUCCUACGGGAGGCAGCAGUGGGGAAUUUUGGACAAUGGGCGCAAGCCUGAUCCAGCCAUUCCGCGUGCAGGAUGAAGGCCUUCGGGUGGUAAACUGCUUUUGUACGGAACGAAACGGCGAGCUCUAAUACAGUUUGCUAAUGACGGUACCGUAAGAAUAAGCACCGGCUAACUACGUGCCAGCAGCCGCGGUAAUAC